UGGGGAAUCUUGCGCAAUGCGCGAAAGCGUGACGCAGCAACGCCGCGUGGGGGAAGACGGCCUUCGGGUUGUAAACCCCUUUCAGGAGGGACGAAGGUUCGCCGGUGAAUAGCCGUGCGGAUUGACGGUACCUCCACAAGAAGCUCCGGCUAACUACGUGCCAGCAGCCGCGGUAAUACGUAGGGAGCAAGCGUUGUCCGGAAUCAUUGGGCGUAAAGCGCGCGUAGGUGGCCACAUAAGUCCGUUGUGAAAGUCAAAGGCUCAACCUUUGAAAGCCGAUGGAUACUGUGUGGCUAGAGUACGGAAGAGGCGAGUGGAAUUCCUGGUGUAGCGGUGGAAUGCGCAGAUAUCAGGAGGAACACCAAUAGCGAAGGCAGCUCGCUGGGACGUUACUGACACUGAGGCGCGAAAGCGUGGGGAGCGAACAGG
rnacentral:rRNA from 1 species